rnacentral:rRNA from 1 species
UACGGGGGGGGUAAGCGUUGUUGCGGAAUUACUGGGCGUAAAAGGGCUCGGUAGGCGGCCAACUAAGUCAGACGUGAAAUCCCUCAGCUUAACUGGGGAACUGCGUCUGAUACUGGAUGGCUUGGAUUUGGGAAGAGGGAUGCGGAAUUCCAGGUGUAGCGGUGAAAUGCGUAGAUAUCUGGAGGAACACCGGUGGCGAAGGCGGCAUCCUGGACCAAUAUUGACGCUGAGGAGCGAAAGCCAGGGGAGCAAACGGG